rnacentral:rRNA from 1 species
CGAGAAAGCCCGCAAGGGUGAGUAAAGCGGCGCACGGGUGCGUAACACGUGGGUAAUCUGCCCUGGAGCCCGGAACAACUCGCCGAAAGGCGAGCUAAUGCCGGAUGAGACCACGGGGGCUUCGGCCCCUGAGGGAAAAGGUGGCCUCUGUACACAAGCUAUCACUUCAGGAUGAGCCCGCGGCCCAUCAGCUAGUUGGCGGGGUAAUGGCCCACCAAGGCGACGACGGGUAGCUGGUCUGAGAGGACGAUCAGCCACACUGGAACUGAGACACGGUCCAGACUCCUACGGGAGGCAGCAGUGGGGAAUCUUGCGCAAUGGGCGAAAGCCUGACGCAGCAACGCCGCGUGUGUGAUGAAGGUCUUCGGAUCGUAAAGCACUGUCGCGAGGGACG